UUUGCUGUGAAAAAUAUGAAAUAUUUUAUUGUAAAACUUGCAUGCAUUAAAAAAAACAAACCAUAUAUACAAAAUUUAUAACGAGAAACAUACAAUUCCUGAGGAUUUAACAAUGUUAUUUGCAAUACAUCAUUACUUUUAGUGUUGCAAUGACGAUACUGUAUGUAUGCCACAUGCACACGUAAAUGGUUAAAGACACUCUAGGCAGAAGGACAAAUAUGGUUUAUAAUAAAGUUAAUAAUAAAAGUACCAGUCUUAACAUGAACACAUAAAUACAAACUGAUCUCUCAUGUCUAAAAGGGAAUCUCAUCAGGUGUCCCUAACCAAAGACACUUCUAUGCAGCAUAACAGGAAAAAAUGUAACGUAAAAGAUUUAGCCCUGCUGUGUUCAUCAAUUUUUAUUUAAAGAGACCUAGCCGAGAAACUGCAAAAGGCAUAUACGAGUGAUAUUACAGUUUUCUAUGAAAUUAUACUGAGCAUAAUUGUAUGUGAGUCAUACAGAUUGCUCCUGGGGACAGACCGACAGUGCCAAAUCUUGGAUAUAAAAAAAAAAAUAACAAAAAACUGAUACAACAACAAGAAUAGGCAUUCAACAUGGAAACAACUUGCAAAAGAUAAACAUGCAGAUAUUUAUUUUAUAUAUUCAGGGCCAUUUACUAAAGUGGGAAUUAAAAGUGACUUUUAGAUUUAAAGGACCACUAUAGUGCCAGGAAAACAUACUCGUUUUCCUGGCACUAUAGUGCCCUGAGGGUGCCCCCACCCUCAGGGACCCCCUCCCGCCCGGCUCUGGAAGGGGGAAAGGGUAAAACUUACCUUUUUCCAGCGCUGGGCGGAGAGCUCU